GUGAAGCCGUCAGCCCCACCCAAGCACCCUGUCUCUCACCUGAUGAGAAGGUCCCGCAGGUAGGCAAACUCACAGUGUGUGGUGUUUUCAACUAGGAGAGGAGACAGGAGGGGCUUUAAUGUCCCAGUGGAGAAACUCUGCCCGGACCCCACCUCUCUCCCCCUGCCCAGAAAUGCUGGUGCCAAAAGCAGAGUCUGAGGGCAGCCCCAUGGGCAGGAGGGCAGGGGAACCACCUGCUCUGCAGCUGAGUAUAGGACACCUGGCACUGCCCUCAGUCUGGGGGAUACUGGAGUGACCAGCACCAGCUCCUGCUCCUGGACAGCUCAGCUCCUGCUCUCCAGAAAGUUCCUGGCUAAUGGGAGAUGGCACAGUGACCAGGCCAAAUAGGAGCAUGGAAGGAAGCCACAGUGGAGAAGCCAGGGCAGUGGGCCCCCGCACCACUGGGGUGACCAGGGAGAGCAGGACGUCCCAGCAGGGGCCUGAAGACAGGCAGGGGGCUGGGCUGCUGGGAAUGGGAUGAAGCAGGAAUCGGAGCUGGGAUUUUAAAGAAAACCUGUGGCCCACAGGGUGUUACCCCCACGGCCCCAUCCACCUUGUGUGCGCUCAGAGCACACACACACAGGGACACACACAGGGGCUACGUACUGUGGACGACCAUUCACAAGCUCAAGAAUCAGCAAUGCUAAACAUUGCUCAGGGACAUGUGCACUUCACACAAUACAUACAAGCCCAAGCUCGGGACAGUGGCCACUUCUCAGGGAGACUGGGCAGGAGACCACGGGCACCCACAAGUGCCCUCGGGCUCGAGCUGGUGGCCAUCUCAGAGUGGUCAUUUUAUUGCUGUGCUUCGUAACUCCUAUAUGAACACGCGGUGCCUGGCAUGUGUAACUGUUAUAUAACAGAAGGCCUUUUAACAAGGAGGGCAGUGAACGGCAUCACUGGAGGUGGGGAGCCGGGCAGGGAAGGCAAAUAAAGACACCCGGUGCCCUCCCAUGUGAUGAACUUCGUCUUCACACACCUGCAAGUGUCUCUUGUGAUUCCUUUGUUAUCCCCAUUAUCUUACGAAAAUGGGGCGUAGACGCUGGGCACCACGGCUCACGUCUGCAAUCCCAGCACUUUGGGAGGCUGAGGUGGGUGGAUCACGAGGUCAGGAGUUCGAGACCAGCCUGGCCAACAUGAUGAAAUCUCGUCUCUGUUAAAAAUACAAAAAUUAGCCAGGCCUGGUACCAGGCGCCUGUAAUCCCAGCUACUCAGGAGGCUGAGGCAGGAGAAUCACUGGAACCCAGGAGGUGGAGGUUGUGGUGAGCCAAGAUCACGCCACGGCACUCCAGCCUGGGCAAAAGAGUGAAACUUCGUCUCAAAAAAAAAAAAAAAGAAAAAGAAAAAGAAAAGAAAAGAAAAUGAGGCAUAGAGAACGCAAGAACUGUGUCUGUCUCAGCUCCACAGUGCAUAAGGCUGGAGCGGGAUGCAGAACCCAUACACCUGGCUCCAGGCUGCCCCAUCGCAGAGCCACAUGGCUUUUCCCCAAGUUAAAAAUGUCUAGUUUUUACUUGGUAGGCCAGCAGGCAGGGCCGGGGCCUCCACCUUGCCCAGCCCUCAAGUGCUCUCAGUGCUAUGCCGGUUGCCUUUGCCUAGGCCCUCCUGCCACGGCCCUGUGUAGGGCGGUGUCCACACUAGAACCUCCUGCAGACUGACCAGCAGCACUCUCAUCUAACACUGACGGGCAGCGAGAGCCGGCAGGAAGAAUGGGGCUCUCAGGCUGGAGUUGGAGUGUGUGAUCGCCACUCCCUGGCUCGGGCAAGUUACUCUCAUUCCCUCAGUUUCCUCAUCCAUAAAAUGUGGAUAAUAACGUCACCCGCCUCUCAGGGACAUGAGGAUUAAAUGAGUUCAUGGCGUGAUCAAUUACACCCCACAUUUCUAUUGACAAUACUUGGGGUGGUUUCUAAGGAUGGGAAAGAUACCUCAAGAUGCUGUUCACCAAGUGGGAGGCAAGAACAAGGCACAGCCCUUACUAGUCCGGGUGUCAGGUCAGCUAUGAACUCAUGGGGCCCCUGAUAUAAAAACCCAGCAGUGCUGAAGGCACAUUUCCAGGGUCCUCAUAUAAGACUGCUGGAAAGUGGGCCCCACCACCUCACAACUGUCCUGACAGGUUCCAGACUCUUCCUCAGCUGGAGCCAGUGGUGCUCAACAACGCACAGGUCAGAGAGGUGCGGGGACCUCUCUCUUGUGCAUUUCCUGACAGUUUCUGUCACCGGCCACCUGCGGUACUCAAGGUUGGCCACCAGGGUGCAGCAGAGGCACGCCCAUAGCAAAGCCGCCGGCCCGUCCCAGGCCCAUCCAUCCCUAACUCUCCCAAACCUGCCUUUCAUAAAAAGUUUCCUAAACAGCAAGAACUCUUUGGGCAGAGAGGAAGAGAGGAACUGCAGGCAGAGGGGCCAAGGGGAGGCAAGCCAGCCUGACACCACAGGCGGAUACUGGAAAACACCCAGGCUGCACCCAGCUGGGCAGCUCCCGCAGGGUGGGCCCGGCAGGGGUGGUGGUAGGGGAGGAGUGCAGACAGGGGAAAGGCCCGUGUGCCUCUCCACACCCUCCUCCAGGCAUGAACUCCCAUCUCGAGGGAGUCUGGUGCAGGGCUGGAGCUGUAGAUUCUAGAGCCGCCUCCCGUUCUGGGUCCCUUGGCAGGUUUUCUGCUCACAGCACCUCUUCAACUCUGCAAGGAGGGUGGGUGCGGGGAGCUUCGGACAUGAAACGAGAUAACCCAUGUCUAGCCAGUGGCACAGGAGUGUCUGAUGCCUCCUGGUAAUUGUCAUUAUGACCAUUUUUUUAGAGCAACAGCUUCCCAAAAAGCUCUGUGGUCUUUGGGACAGUCUCUCAACUCACUAAAAUCUUGGCACACUGCACCCACUUUGUGGAUGAUGAAAACUGAGGCCCUGGAAGAUUAAGAGACUUGUGCUUCCUGCUCUACUGGGCCUUUCAGCCAAGUGCUCUCCCAGAACAAAGUGGCUUUUCCUGCUGCAUUUCCCUCUGCACCUUCCCCUCUUCCAUUCUAAUGAGAAAUGAAGGGACAGAGAGAGGAAGGGGAAGGAAACGUUCGGGCCCAUCCCUCCCGGGGUGUCACCGCCAGGAGUGGGUUGAACUGUGGCCCCCCAGGGGCUCCCAUCCAUUCAAAGACAUGGUCAAGGUCCAGGCCUUGGAACCCAUGAUUGUGACCUUACUUGGAAAACGUCUUUCUUUAUAGAUUCAUUAAGGAUCUCCAAAUGGGAUCAUCCACUUAGGGUAGGCCCUAAGUCCAAAGACAGGCAUCCUUGUCCAAAGACAAGAAGGAAAGAGGGCAGGCUCGGUGGCUCAUUCCUGUAAUCCCAGCACUUUGGGAGGCCAAGCAAGGUGGGCAGAUCACCUGAGGUCAGGAGUUUAAGACCAGCCUGGCCAACAUGGCGAAAUCCUGUCUCUACUAAAAAUACAAAAAUUAAGUCAGGUGGGUGGUACGUGACUGUAAUCCCAGAUACUCGGGAGGCUGAGGCAGGAGAAUUACUUGAACCCAGGAGGCAGAGGUUGCAGUGAGCUGAGAUUGCAACACUGCACUCCAGCCUGGGUGACAGAACGAGACUCCGUCUCAAACAAAAAAAAAAAAAAAAAAAAAGGAAGAGGAGGGACGGGACAGAGACACAGGGAAGAAGGCCCUGUGACAAUGGGGCAGAGAUUAGAGCAUGUGAUGCCUUUACAAUACAACUAGGAAUGCCAGGCGCCACCAGAAGGAGGAAGGCAUGGAUGAGGCUGGUCCUCAGGGCCUCAGAAGGAAACAGCCCCUGAUUUCGGACCUCUGGCCUCUGGAACUGUGAAAAUACGUUUGUGUUGUUUUAAGUCCCCUCGUUUGUGCUAAUUGGUUACAACAGCCACUCAAGAGACUAAGGUGUGAGGGUCCCAGGAACUUCAGCAGGGUAAGGGGCCGAGGGUCCAUCUGGCUCACAGAGCUACAGCCCACCCCUUUUCUAGGCCCAGAGAGGUUGGGCGAUUUGUCCAGGGCCACACAGGUGCCUAUGAAAGAGCCUGCACCAGGAUCCAGAACUUGGCGGCCCCCAUCCCAGCUCCUGUCUCCCUGAAUCUUUCCCUGCCCGGGGGGAGGUCUGGGGUGGAGGCAUCUGCACAGGCCACUUGCCCUCUCACUUUCCCAAGGGUUGAAUGGGGACAAGGAGACCCCUCCCUCUGGGUGGGGCAAGGCAGUGGAUGAGGUUCCACGAGUCCCUGGCUCAGGCGUGGCCCACAGGCUCUGGGUCA
rnacentral:lncRNA from 10 species